GAUGCUUUUAAUCCUUUAUUACCUGUAGGGGCAGGUGGCUGCUGGGAAGCUACUGCAGGAAAGGAGGUUUACUAACGUGUUCGAGGCCUGGAAUUACGCAGUGGAGCAGUAUAUUUUAGAAGCUAUGGAGAAAGUUCAGAACAACAUGGCUAAAAGAUUCUGAGGACAACCCUUUCUGUCAAUACUGAAUUGUUCCAGAAACAUAUGGAGAAAAUUGUGCAUAGUGGAGACUGUUUUUGCUGAGGUUUUUUCUUGAGGAGAUAAACCAUCUCUGUGAGAAGUCAGUCAGCUAUGUGGACUGCCAUGAAUAUCAAUAAAAUCUUGGCAAACACAUUAAACAAGGAGUACUCUCAGCUUUUCACAUCAUUAAAUCUAGGAAGGACAGAAAAGUCCAAGAUCGGAAGACGUUUUAACACUUACAGGACCUAGAAGUUAAAGGACCUAAUUAUGAGGAGGCAUCAUGGAGAAGUAUAAUAUCUCUCUAUCUGCAGACCA
rnacentral:lncRNA from 1 species